GCAGGAGGAGCAGGAGGAGGAGGAGGAGGAGGAGGAGCAGGAGGAGCAGGAGGAGGAGGAGGAGGAGGAGGAGGGAUGAAGCAGGAUCCAUGUGUGGAACCUCCCAGCGAGCAGCCUGCCGGUCCGGAGGCCCCUGAGGGCCCCGGAGUGAACGGGACCAGCCAGGACCCCGACACAGACAGCAAAGGGGGGCAGAGUCCAGAUCCCAAGACUGCAGAGGAGACCAAGAUCCAGAAGGACCUGAAGGAGUCCGAGACUCCCGAGAAGCCCGAGAAGGAGGAGAAGGAGGAGCCCCAGGCCCAGGAGGAGCCCCAGGAGGACCCCCCGGGCCCCGACGACGUGGUCUGCGACUCCUGCAUCGAGAGCCCCUGCCGGGCCCUGAAGUCCUGCCUCACCUGCCUGGUGUCGUACUGCCGGGCCCACCUGAGGCCCCACCUGGAGAACCCCAAGUUCCAGAACCACCGGCUGGUGGAGCCGCUGCGGGACAUCGAGCGCCGGACCUGCGAGGUCCACAAGUGGCCCCUGGACCGGUUCUGCCGGGCCGACGGACGCUGCCUCUGCCAGGACUGCCUGACGGAGCACCAGGGCCACGACACGGUGCCGGUGGAGGAGGCCCGGCGCCACAUCGAGACGGAGCUGCGGGGGAAGCAGACGGAGACGGUGAAGACGGUGACGGCGGCGGAGAACGCCAUCGGCAAGCUGCAGCGCAACACCGUCUCCAUCGAGCACUCGGUGACGGAGGUCCGGGCCGUGAUCCAGGACCAGUUCCAGCGGCUGCAGGCGGCGGUGGCGCGGGCCCAGCGGGAGGUGACGGAGGUCCUGGAGGCGGAGGAGCAGCAGGCCCUGCGGCAGGCCGAGGGGAUCCGGGUCCACCUGGAGCAGCGCUGCGCCGAGCUCCGCAGGACCCGGGUCCAGAUGGAGAAGCUGUCCAGGCACCAGAACGACGUGGACUUCCUGCAGGAGUACUCGGAGUGGAAGAGGGACUGGACGGACGUGUCUCUGCCGGGGGUCUACAUCGGCCUGAUGGACCGCCUGCCGUCCUUCAGCCGCGUCAUCAUCGAGUCCACGGAGACGCACUGCGCCGGCCUGCUGUCCUCCUACGUCCACAAGGUCAAGGACACCUGUCGGACAGACAAGUUGGGGAUCAAGACGACGGUAAAGCAGAUCAUCGCUACAAAGCAGAACCUGAGUUUACCAGAACCAGAGACUCACGCAGACUUCCUCAAGUACUCCGCCCAGCUGACGUUCGACGGCGACACGGCUCACCGGUUCCUGCGGCUGACGGAGGAGAACCGGAAGGUGACGAACACGACGCCCUGGCAGCACCCGUACCCCGACCUGCCCGAGCGCUUCGACAACUGGCGCCAGGUCCUGGCGUCCGAGAGCUUCUACCUGGGCCGCCAUUACUUCGAGGUCGACAUCAGCGGCGAGGGCACGCACGUGGGCGUGACCUACAAGUGCAUCGACCGCAAGGGCGGCGAGAGCAACGGCUGCAUCACCGGCAACGACUUCUCCUGGUGCCUGCGGUGGGACGGCCGCGCCUUCUCCGCCUGGCACAGCGGCGUGGAGACGCCGCUCGGCGUGGACAAGGUGACGCGGGUGGGGGUGUACGUGGACUACGCCCGCGGCCUGCUGGCCUUCUACGGCGUGGACCGGGACAUGACGCUCAUCCACCGGUACCGGGCCGAGUUCCUGGAGCCGCUGUACCCGGCCUUCUGGCUCUCCAAGAAGGAGAACGUGGUGGCGCUGGUGGCGCCCGACGAGCCGCUCCGGCUCAAGAGCCCGUCUCCGCCCACCUCGCCCUCCGGCGGCGCCGUGGUGGUGUGACGGGCGGAGGAGGCGGAGCUGCUACCCGGAGACGGAGAGACCAUCGAACUUGAACGUCCGGCCCGAACGAAGAGAAGCCUCAGAACCUGGAACGGACCAGAACCCAGACCGCUGGAGAACCUGGCAACCGCAGCAACACAGGGCUGGAGAGCAGGAGACCAGGAACUGGCAACCACCCGGCAACCAGCCAGCAACCAGCCGGCAACCAACAACCAAUCAGCAACCAUCCAGCAAUCAACAACCAACCAACAACCAUAAACAGCCAACAACCAACAAACAGAAAGAAGAGUCAGAAUAAGUAAAGAAGAGCUGAAACCAGGUUAAGUUCCUCAAAAUGAAAAUAUUUUAAAGCUUCGUCCUCCUGUGGAUGUUUGGAAACUGUUGUGGAGAAAGAGUUUAAAUCACAGAAGCACGACCAGAGGUACGGCUUCCGAAAGGAUUCCGCCCUGUUCUGUCCAGAAAUCUUCGCUCCUGAAAGCCUGGAGGACGGAGCGCCGGUCAGCCUUCAUGUCAGCAGUGUUGGGAAAGUUGCUUUAAACUUUUAUAGUUACUAGUUACUUCAGCUGAGUCAGUAACUGAUUUACAGUGUUUUUAAGUGACAGUGACUGAUCACUGAGCGCCAGAGGUGGCCAGAAAGUACCCUCCCAUGCCAUGUUUUUGUUGUGCCCAGUCAGUUAACAAAGGGCUGGGCUGAUCUGAAUCACCUGCAACAAGCAGUUCUGGGCCCAGGUGGUCACGAUCAGCCCAGCUCUUCCAGAACUGACUGGCUACAUGGAAGACAUGGCAUGGGAAAGUACUUUCUUGACACCUCUGCUGAGCGCUGCGUACAGAAGUGUUUGAACACGUCGAAGAAUGUGGAUCUCCUCUUAGUGGAACUUUAAGAUGCAGGUUCAGUCCAGGUUGUUUUGACGAUCUGUGGUUCAGUCAUUGAUUCUAAAACUGAAAAUAUGAUUCAUGAAAUGAACGGACUCUUGACAGAAUAAGUCACGAACAGGAAACGCUACGUACAUUCAUCUGAAUUAUUCAAAUGCUGCUGUGUGAUAAUAUGAGACAAGACACCAGUCACUUGAUCUGUAACUAUAGAGAGCACUUCUACAUCUACUGACAUCUACUGACUAUGUCGAUAGAAUCCUGUACUUCCACUUGAAGGCUGCCUUUGAAUGACCAGGACUCUCUCUAUGGAUGUAGCUCUAUCUGCCUUCAUGAUCAGGUUCUAUGACUGUAUCUCUAUCAUGUCACGUGACACACUCUGCACCCACACCUCCUCCACCUGCUCCGCCCUCGGCUGGAGUCCAGAGGAGGAACGUCAAGCUGAAGGCAGUGAAUACCGGGAACAGAACCCAGAACCACGCCUCAUGUUCCUGUCAGCGAACCGGGGGACCUUCACCGUGAGGCGACAGGCCUUACCACUGCACACUCACACUCCUGUGUGUUAGAUGGGUUUAAAUCCAGACGCAGUUCAUCCCAGUGUGUUGUAAUGAAGCUGUGGAGUGUUUGAAUCGAGCACAAACUCAGAACACAGAGAACCCGGAGGAACCGAGCAGGAAGUCAAUAAAGUGCAAAAGAAAAUAAGAAGAAAAAAAAUCUGAAAAAAAACAAAAGAAAACAAUGAGAACAAUAGAAAAUAGUACAAAGAAGAAAAAUGAAGAAUAAUGUAAAUUAAUACCUAUAAGAACUAAUAUAAAAUAACAAAAAAUAAAAACUAAUUUCAAAAAAUUAAGCGGGGGACGUUGGCAGCGUGGUGACGCAAUGGCGUUGGUCACGUGUCCCUCACGCAUGGUGACGUGGAGCUGAGCAUGUAACCGGAAGUGGCUGUUGUCAACAUGUUAGCAGGAGUAAGUCAAAUAAUCUGAAACAAUCCGCUUUUUCCAGAUUUCUAGGCGCUUUGAAUGUGUCUGUCGGUCAUUUGGAAUCCCGCCGCGGCUCUGGAGCGACUGAACGGGCCUGAAGACGUUUAAACACCCGGAAGAGAGCAGCGCCGUGCUAAUGAUGCUAACUAGUUAGCCUGUGUUUCUCCUGUUCCUCCGUGUUUUACGGUCCUUCAGACUCAGUUUCAUCUGCCGGUAACUGCGGACUGACGGGACGCUGCGUGGCCGUCUGUCGCUCCGAGCUACCGGAGGCUACCGGAGGCUAACGGAGGCUACCGGAGGCUAACGGAGGCUACCGGAGGCUAACGCUAGCCUCGUGACGUUUAGAUGGAUCAACCAGCGAGACUCUGACCGGAGCUGGAAGUCAGCUGGACGGCCGGGUGGAGGUUCCCUCUCAGCCUGGUUCCGCAGGGUUCUCCUCUGAGCCUGGUUCUGCAUGGUUCUCCUCUGAGCCUGGUUCUACAGGGUUCUCCUCUGAGCCUGGUUCUGCAUG